rnacentral:rRNA from 1 species
UGGGGAAUAUUGCACAAUGGGCGCAAGCCUGAUGCAGCCAUGCCGCGUGUGUGAAGAAGGCCUUCGGGUUGUAAAGCACUUUCAGCGAGGAGGAAGGUGGUGAGCUUAAUACGCUCAUCAAUUGACGUUACUCGCAGAAGAAGCACCGGCUAACUCCGUGCCAGCAGCCGCGGUAAUACGGAGGGUGCAAGCGUUAAUCGGAAUUACUGGGCGUAAAGCGCACGCAGGCGGUUUGUUAAGUCAGAUGUGAAAUCCCCCGGGCUCAACCUGGGAACUGCAUUUGAAACUGGCAAGCUAGAGUCUCGUAGAGGGGGGUAGAAUUCCAGGUGUAGCGGUGAAAUGCGUAGAGAUCUGGAGGAAUACCGGUGGCGAAGGCGGCCCCCUGGACGAAGACUGACGCUCAGGUGCGAAAGCGUGGGGAGCAAACAGGAUUAGAUACCCCUGGUAGUCCACGCUGUAAACGAUGUCGAUUUUGGAGGUUGUGCCCUU